ACACCCAUCAAGCCUGGCUUGGUAUUGGGCGACGGGGUCUUCCCCGCGCCCCGAUUUCGCCGGCUGGACGUACCCCGAUCUCAAGCGCUGUAAUAAGCCUUCGCUGGAGGGACGGGCGGCCACGCCGUUAAACCCAAUCAAUCA
rnacentral:misc_RNA from 1 species